rnacentral:rRNA from 1 species
GCAGUCGUGCGAGUGUGAUUCGAUGAGCUUGCUCUCAAGAAGUUAGCGGCGGACGGGUGAGUAACACGUGGGUAACCUGCCCAUAAGACUGGGAUAACUCCGGGAAACCGGGGCUAAUACCGGAUAAUAUUUUGAACUGCAUGGUUCGAAAUUGAAAGGCGGCUUCGGCUGUCACUUAUGGAUGGACCCGCGUCCCAUUAGCUAGUUGGUGAGGUAACGGCUCACCAAGGCAACGAUGCGUAGCCGACCUGAGAGGGUGAUCGGCCACACUGGGACUGAAACACGGCCCAGACUCCUACGGGAGGCAGCAGUAGGGAAUCUUCCGCAAUGGACGAAAGUCUGACGGAACAA